GGGGGGGGGCGUGGGCCGUGGGCCGUGAGGGGGGCAGCCGCAGAGGAGCGGCCCUCAGUCCGGCAACCGAUCCCUUCGGUGACCCAGCGGUUUUAAAUCCCAGUUUUUGAACUAAGUUCGCCCCUUGGCGCUGGUGGCGGAGCAGCAAAGUGACACAAAGCUGCGGCGGGCGCCGGGGCAGCAGGUACAUGGGACACACCGGGGCGCCCUCAAGGAUGAGAUGGCGGCCGGGAGGCGGGGAGCGUUCGGAGGGUCCCGGAACGUUCCGGAAGGCGGCGGCGCUCCAGACGGCAGCCCCGUUCCCACGGGGCGGGGGGCAGCGCCGGCACCGGCCCGGGCGCGGCGCUGUGGCGGCGGCGAGUGCGCGGCCCUCGUGUGACGCGGCGGAGCCGCCCGGCGGGAUUCUGUCAGAGAGCGCAGCCCCGCGCACCGUCUCCACGAGCCCAAUCCCGCGCGCUCCUUCAGCACCAGGGACAGGCGCUGCGCCCCGCGAGCCGAGGAGCGGCCGGGCCCCGGCGCGGCGGCACCGCUGUGGUACCGCUGGGCCGGAGAUCCCGUCGGCGUGAGUUGUGACUUAGUAGUGCAGUUCGCGCGAAGGGAUCGUCAGAUCUAGGGCAGUGUGCAGAUCAGAUGGGGAACAAUUUUCAGAAGUAAUCUGUGCGGUGAUUGUUACCCACCACUGAGUUACCUGAUACUACUGCCUGAACCCUUCAUAAGAUUAAGCUCUCUUCUUACUUCACUGAACAGCAGCAGAAAGAACAUUGUUGCAGAUAUUCUUCAAGUAGAAGAAAGGUUUCAAGAGCUAUGAUAAGGAUUCCUGUGCUGGCAUCUUCAGGAGCUGUGCUGUGCCCUGCUGGGUGGGGGUGCUCGUUGCUGUGCUUCCUCACACUUCCACGGAGCGUUUUUGUUGUCGUGGGAGAGUUUGUGCUGGAGACCAGGAGGUUUUACCAACGUGCCUGGAUCUGGUCCAAACUGAUAAUGACCAAAGUGAUUAUUCAGUGCAAAUGGGAUGACAGUAAGCAGUGCCUGUAUGAUUACUCAGCCUUUGCUCAAUAUUCCAUCAGCAGGGGGGGGAAGACAAUGGAAAAUCAAGUCAAAAGACUCGGAUCUCCAGUUUCUUUGGCAGUUGCAUUGAAAAUUACAAGGCCUAGGAACUGAGUGGGACAGGAAGGACCUGCACUGUCUGUCAUCCACUGAGCAUCUCUCUGCAAGCCUUAGAUAAAGCAUUUGGGGAGGAAAUGUAGUGGAAGCUCCACUUUUGGUGUCUGUAGAUACCUGCCUCUGGAAAUAAGCUGUUUGCUCAUACUGAUGUCCAUUUUUCUUCAGUCUUAAAGCUAAAUUAUUUCCAAAGAAUACAAAUAGAAGAAAAUCUCAGAGGUAAGCUGUGUGACCACCUGUCUCUAGUUUUAUGCACUAGUAUUUUAUUACUGGAAUAUUUUUCCAAAGAUUUGGAUUAUUGCAUCCUGUAACCUGUAUUAGGUGAUUUGGAGCACAGUGCUGAUCAAGAUUGCUUAGGAUUGCACUGAAGAAGACCAUGGAAUAUCAUUCUUAUUUUAAUGAGCUGUAGUCCUUUUCUGCUGUGCCUGUGCUAGGUAGGUGACAGCAAAGUUAUUUUGACUAAAAUGUGCUUGUAGGUAUUCAGGUAUUUGCAAUAUAUAAAGGACAAAAAAGCACCAAGAAGACGCCCAUGGUUCUAAAUAUGUUCCAACAAUUUGAUAUCACACAUUUGAAGAUGAAAGGGGGUUUAGGUUUUGUUUUUCCCCAGUUCUUAAACUGAUAUGGUAAAAGGAUUCUUUGUGAAAAUCACCAGGGAGACAUUAUGAGUUACUUGAAGCUGUUUUAUCUUAAACCUAAGCUCUUGCAUAAAUAUAUUUCUCCAGUCUUUCAAAUGUUCACCAAUAAAAGACUGUGAUACACAGUAGACAUUGAUCUCAAGUUCAAGAUCACACAUCCAGUAGAAAACUAUACCAUAUGGAGGCUGUUAUGGGCCAGUAUUUUUAGGGUAAUAAUGUGCUCUUGGACAGUAAAUGUACAUAGUCUGUUUUGCUGUCCUGGAAUGCUGCAAGAUCCAGUAAUGAGUCAUUUGCUAUGUCUAAAGAACCAAUGGAAAAACACAUUGUUUUUAGCCUUUUGCUAUAACAAAAAUAAUUACAAUUUGGAAGCACUCUUCAGCCACUCAUUUCUGGGCAGUCCUGCUGCACAUGGUGGGGUACUCACUGACCAUUUCUCCAAACACAGUAACGUGGUAUGUUGUGAACCUCCUCAGAUGAAGAAAGGACUGCAGAACUGGCACCCUGUGUGCUACUGGGUGUAUGAGGUUCUUGUUCAACAGGCAGCAGGUAUUACAGCUCUCUUUAUGACUCUGCACUGUAACUGGAAUAAAGUAGAAAGCAGUUCUUCAGAGCUGUGCUUCAGCAGGAAACAGCAGUAGCCUCUAUGUGAUAUUUUGUUGCCUUCUAUCUCUUCAGAAGGAACUCUUAAUGCAAUUAUUUUUAAAUUUUCAUUUUAUCAGCUUAAUCUGCUAGAUGAUACAUUAGUUCUGCCGCGAGAUUCAGGGAUGCAUUCAUUUGGUCCUCCUUAGUCCUGCAAGUUUACAGUUGUUUGUGAAUUUGUUUUUUUCAGCUGUAGUUUGUUUCAUUUCAGAGCUCUUGAAGGCCAUGCCCACUAGUCUCAGUGCAGCGGCUUCCUUGUUUGAGCUGAUAUUGUUACAGUUUGCUACAGAAGUGCUUAGCUACUGGUUGAGUUCUGUUCAUUCUAAAGAGUAGAAGAAAGUACUCGGGAAAUAAAAGUGAAAACAAAAAUCUUA